AGUGAACGCUGGCGGUAGGCCUAACACAUGCAAGUCGAACGGCAGCACAGGAGCGCUCGCUCUCUGGGUGGCGAGUGGCGGACGGGUGAGGAAUAAAUCGGAAUCUACUCUGUCGUGGGGGAUAACGUAGGGAAACUUACGCUAAUACCGCAUACGACCUACGGGUGAAAGCAGGGGACCUUCGGACCUUGCGCGCUUGACUGAGCCGAUGUCGGACUAGCUAGUUGGCGGGGUAAAGGCCCACCAAGGCGACGAUCCGUAGCUGGUCUGAGAGGAUGAUCAGCCACACUGGAACUGAGACACGGUCCAGACUCCUACGGGAGGCAGCAGUGGGGAAUAUUGGACAAUGGGCGCAAGCCUGAUCCAGCCAUACCGCGUGGGUGAAGAAGGCCUUCGGAUUGUAAAGCCCUUUUGUUGGGAAAGAAAUCCAGCUGGCUAAUACCCGGUUGGGAUGACGGUACCCAAAGAAUAAGCACCGGCUAACUUCGUGCCAGCCGCCGCAGUAA
rnacentral:rRNA from 1 species